rnacentral:misc_RNA from 1 species
GAUGAAGAACGUAGCGAAAUGCGAUAAGUAAUGUGAAUUGCAGAAUUCAGUGAAUCAUCGAAUCUUUGAACGCACAUUGCGCCCGUCAGUAUUCUGGCGGGCAUGCCUGUUCGAGCGUCAUUACGCCCCUCAAGUCCCCUGUGGACUUGGUGUUGGGGAUCGGCGAGGCUGGUUUUCCAGCACAGCCGUCCCUUAAAUUAAUUGGCGGUCUCGCCGUGGCCCUCCUCUGCGCAGUAGUAAAACACUCGCAACAGGAGCCCGGCGCGGUCCACUGCCGUAGAACCCCCCAACUUUUUAUAGUUGACCUCGAAUCAGGUAGGACUACCCGCUGAACUUAAGCAUAUCAAUAAGCGGAGGA